rnacentral:antisense_RNA from 1 species
AGGAUUGUUGCAAACAUAAAAAAUGGCCGAAUUGGAAUUGCUGCACUGUAGCGGAUAAUAACAAUCCCAAGAACAACUAAAAUUAAAAAGGCGAUCCCGAUUCCGAUAAUCAACUGGCUGAAAUCCAUCGACGGAGCCAUUCCUGCAUAGAAAAUGAUCGUUUCGGCACCUUCGCGAAAGAUUGAUAGAAAACUGAGCAUGGCCAUGGAUAAUAAACUUCCUUUUGCCAAUGCUUUUCCGAUGUUGUCCCUGAUAUAUUGAUUCCAAUGGGCAAUGUUUGUCUUUUUGUGCAGCCAAGCCCCAACCGUCAGCAUCAUCAAAACGGCAACAAUCCCAAUGAUUCCUUCGAUAUAUUCUCGGCUUUCGGCAGCUGUUAUUUUUGAAAAAAAUA